CUGGAAGCUUUUCAGCAAGUACCUAUAGCUCAGUAACCAAUAAAAAUAAUGAAAUGACAUACAACUAUCUGCCAAUACAUGAAAAAACUCAAAUUUCUACGUUCUGCUAUGAUACAAUAAAUAUAACUGACACUGAAUCCAAACAACAGUUUUUAUCCCUAUAUUAUUUUUUCCAUUUGUUUUGCUGCCUCUCUAAUUAAUAAGCACAAAAUGAAGAUUUUCAAUCAUUAAAUGCCUUCCAGCCAGGUACCUCAGUUAGAAAGGUUUAACAUCUACCUUACAGAGAUAAUGCAUGAG
rnacentral:misc_RNA from 1 species